GAUGAACGCUGGCGGCGUGCCUAAUACAUGCAAGUCGAGCGAACAGACGAGGAGCUUGCUCCUCUGACGUUAGCGGCGGACGGGUGAGUAACACGUGGAUAACCUACCUAUAAGACUGGGAUAACUUCGGGAAACCGGAGCUAAUACCGGAUAAUAUAUUGAACCGCAUGGUUCAAUAGUGAAAGACGGUUUUGCUGUCACUUAUAGAUGGAUCCGCGCCGCAUUAGCUAGUUGUUAAGGUAACGGCUUACCAAGGCGACGAUGCGUAGCCGACCUGAGAGGGAGAACGACCAGACGGGAAGUGAGACACGGUCCAGACUCCUAGGGGAGGCAGCAGUAGGGAAUCUUCCGCGAUGGGCGAGAGCCGGACGGAGCAACGCCGCGUGAGGGAUGAAGGUCUUCGGAUCGUAGAACUCUGUUAUUAGGGAAGAACAAAUGUGUAAGUAACUAUGCACGUCUUGACGGUACCUAAUCAGAAAGCCACGGCUAACUACGUG
rnacentral:rRNA from 1 species